UUAGAAAAAAAGUAGUUUAUGUACUUCAAAACUCAAAGGGUUUGGCGGUUAGUAAAGUUUUCAGAGGAACCUGUAUUUUAAUUGAUAAACCACGAUAAUUUUUACCUUAUUAUUUAUUUGUAUAUCUCUAUUAAGAGUGUUUUUUAAGAAUAUUCUCUUUUAAUUAAAUUUUUAAUUUUAGGUCAAGGUGCAGUUUUAAAAAGGUUAAUAUGGGAUACUUAAAUCUUAAAUUUAUAUACUUAUUUUUAUAUUAUAAUUAUAUCCCGUAUGGAUUUGAAAGUAAUUUUUAUUAAUUAAUUUUUAUGAAUAUA
rnacentral:rRNA from 1 species